GGGGAUGUAGCUCAGUGGUAGAGUGCUUCUCUAGCAUGCACGAGGCCUUGGGUUCAAUCCCCAUCCCUG
rfam:Ictidomys tridecemlineatus contig096883, whole genome shotgun sequence.